rfam:Schistosoma curassoni strain Dakar, Senegal genome assembly, scaffold: SCTD_contig0009008
AUCCAGCUAACGGGUUCGAGAUAGGACGAAACGCGCUUCCUAGAU